rnacentral:lncRNA from 1 species
CCCCCUGAGCCUGCUUCACAACAUCAACACGGCUGGGCCGGGCCAGGCCGAGCUGGGCCGAGCCGGGCCGAACCGGUUCCGAGGCGCACACCGCGCCGGGCCGCCGCCGCCGCUGCCUCCUCCUCGCUCGCUCGCUCAGGCAGGCAGGGAGGGAGGGAGCCCCGCUUCCGCCGCGCCGCUCCCCGCCCUGCCCCGCGCAGCGGCCGCCCCUGCCCGGGCCGCGGCUCUUCGCUGCGGGCGGUGGCCCUGUCCACACCCCUGCUUCUGCCUCCGAGUUUCUCUUUCUUUUCCCCUUCCGAGCUGCUGCCUGGGAGUGGAGUCUGCGCCCGGGCCUGCACCGGGAGGAAGACAGCUGGCGGCGCGUGAAGAGGGACCAUUUGAGGGAGGAUUUUUCUUCUGAGGACGACUUGCAGGGACUUGGAGAGGAGCCUGACCGUGAAUCCCCGAGGAAAGUCGUCUUCCCCCGCGCAAUCUCCUGGAAGCCAGCACUGGGGCUGUGA